rnacentral:RNase_P_RNA from 1 species
GGCGGGGGAAGCUCAUCAACGGGGCCACGCGCUGAGUGCUCGUCACUCCCCAGCCCCUGGGAAGGUCUGAGACUGGGGCCUCCCGCGGCCCUAACCGGGCUCUCCCCGCGGGGAGGUGAGUUCCCAGAGAGCAGGGCUCCACGCGUGGGCAGACUGGGCAGGAGAUGCCCCGAGUGGGCGGAUGCCUCCCUCGCCGGAGCUUGGAACAGACUCACGGCCAGCGCAGAGCGAGUUCACUUCUACUUCCUCACUGUAAUUUUGCUACUGUUAUAAACUGUAAUGUAAAUAUCUGUAUUUUUCCAAUGGUC